rnacentral:rRNA from 1 species
GAUGAACGCUAGCGGCAGGCCUAAUACAUGCAAGUCGAACGGUAAGUAUUUUAGCAAUAGAAUACGAGAGUGACGUACGGGUGCGUAACACGUAUGCAACCUACCCUUUACAGGAGGAUAGCUCGGGGAAACUCGAAUUAACCCUCCAUGAGAUCACAGUGUGGCAUCACACAGUGAUUAAAACUCCGGUGGUAAAGGAUGGGCGUGCGUCUGAUUAGUUAGUUGGCGGGGUAACGGCCCACCAAGACGAUGAUCAGUAGGGGAACUGAGAGGUUGAUCCCCCACACUGGCACUGAGAUACGGGCCAGACUCCUACGGGAGGCAGCAGUAGGGAAUAUUGGUCAAUGGAUGGAAGUCUGAACCAGCCAUGCCGCGUGCAGGAAGAAGGCCUUCUGGGUUGUAAACUGCUUUUGCCAGGGGAUAAAAAGACCAUGCGUGGUUAAUUGAAGGUACCUGGUGUAUAAGCCACGGCUAACUACGUGCCAGCAGCCGCGGUAAUACGU